rnacentral:misc_RNA from 1 species
GCGGAGGGAUCAUUACACAAAUAUGAAGGCGGGCUGGAACCUCUCGGGGUUACAGCCUUGCUGAAUUAUUCACCCUUGUCUUUUGCGUACUUCUUGUUUCCUUGGUGGGUUCGCCCACCACUAGGACAAACAUAAACCUUUUGUAAUUGCAAUCAGCGUCAGUAACAAAUUAAUAAUUACAACUUUCAACAACGGAUCUCUUGGUUCUGGCA